UCCUGCGGCUGACAGGCUGAUUCAGUGACCGGAGGUCCGGAGGACACAGAGUCUGUACUACAUACUAAACAGACAGGAGCUCACUGCUGCCUCUACUGUCUGCCUUCUCCUCACUGGUUCUGGCUCCUCCUGCAGAUGGCACACAGGAACAGGAGCUGCUUCACGGGAUGAUGGGGAAGAUAGCAGGCAUGCCCAGGAGACGGCCACGAGGGGUUGGAAGGUCGGGGGCCCAGGCCUUGAGCUGUGUGAGGGGCCCCAAAAUGUCUGAUGGCAGCCCUGCAUACUAUACAUACUUACGCUCAAGAUAACUGAAAUGAAAUGAACUGAAUAAAACAGAAUUAGAAACAUUGAAAAAGAGAAGAUCCAUAGUUUGCACAAGUUUGAUUUUAGAGCCCAACACCAAUUUGACCAAAAGUUGAAGAGACAUUGUGCAACCUAUUCAGAGGAAAAGUGGCAAUGAGUAAGAGAACAAGAUAUCAGUAGGGAGCAUGCUCAGUUAUAAAAUGAUUAUUGUGGAGAAGCUCCUUAAAGGAGAAAUGUCUCUGGUAAGAAGAUAACAGUGUGUAAAUGACUUACUAUUGAAGGGCUCGAGAGCAAGUUGAGGACCAUGGUGAACAUGAAAACUAAAGUUGUUGGCUAUAGAGCACCCGCCAUGGAAUAGGGCACGUAGCACCUAUCACGAGGAUACAGCUUGGUCGUUACCUACAGAACAGCUGCAGUCCACACAAAAGGAGCCCACUACCAUCACUGCCAAAUCAGAGACGGCCGAGUCUCCAGGAGUGGGCCCUCUGUGCUAGAGCCGGGAUCGCACUGAGACCAGCACACAUCUAAUCAAGGUAUCGAAUGAGACAUCGUGACACGGAAAGUCGUUCAAGGUUUCACCAGCUGCCUCCAUAAGAUGGAUGAAGAUCAUAUGAGAGAGCACAUGUGUCGGAGAAAGAAAAUCAUCGUCUCUAAACCAUCCCAAUAUGUCAGAGAUGUUAAUCUGGGAUGAAAAUCCGUGUAUGCAGAGGACUUCUUCGGAAUCGAUGGAUUAUGUCUAUGACCAGUAUUUUUUUUUUUUUGUUUAAUAUUAAUAAAAUGGUUAACGGGG